CAAUAGCGUAUAUUAAAGUUGUUGCAGUUAAAAGCUCGUAGUUGGAUUUCGGAGUGGGCCAGUUGGUCCGCCGCAAGGUGUGUUACUGACUGGUUUGCUCUUCUUCGCAAAGACUGCGUGCUGACCCUUAAAUGAGUGUGCGUAGGAUUUACGACGUUUACUUUGAAAAAAUUAGAGUGUUCAAAGCAGGCUAUUGCUUGAAUACAUGAGCAUGGAAUAAUGGAAUAGGACUUUGGUCCCAUUUUGUUGGUUUCUAGGGCCGAAGUAAUGAUUAAGAGGGGCAAUUGGGGGCAUGCCGUAUUCGUUGUUCAGAGGUGAAAUUCUUGGAUUUA
rnacentral:rRNA from 1 species